UACGUAGGGGGCGAGCGUUGUCCGGAUUUAUUGGGCGUAAAGAGCUCGUAGGCGGUUUGGCAAGUCGGGUGUGAAAACUCCGGGCUCAACUCGGAGACGCCACUCGAUACUGCCAUGACUCGAGUCCGGUAGGGGAGUGCGGAAUUCCUGGUGUAGCGGUGAAAUGCGCAGAUAUCAGGAGGAACACCGGUGGCGAAGGCGGCUCUCUGGGCCGGUACUGACGCUGAGGAGCGAAAGCGUGGGGAGCGAACAGG
rnacentral:rRNA from 1 species